AGCGAACGCUGGCGGCAGGCUUAACACAUGCAAGUCGAACGCCCGGGCAACCGGGAGUGGCAGACGGGUGAGUAACGCGUGGGAACGUGCCCUUUGGUUCGGAAUAACUCAGGGAAACUUGAGCUAAUACCGGAUAAGCCCUACGGGGGAAAGAUUUAUCGCCGAAGGAUCGGCCCGCGUCCGAUUAGCUAGUUGGUGAGGUAACGGCUCACCAAGGCGACGAUCGGUGGCUGGUCUGAGAGGAUGAUCAGCCACACUGGGACUGAGACACGGCCCAGACUCCUACGGGAGGCAGCAGUGGGGAAUAUUGGACAAUGGGGGCAACCCUGAUCCAGCCAUGCCGCGUGAGUGAUGAAGGCCCUAGGGUUGUAAAGCUCUUUCGGCGGGGACGAUAAUGACGGUACCCGCAGAAGAAGCCCCGGCUAACUUCGUGCCAGCCGCCGCCGUAAUAC
rnacentral:rRNA from 1 species